rnacentral:rRNA from 1 species
AACGAACGCUGGCGGCAGGCUUAACACAUGCAAGUCGAGCGCCUCGCAAGAGGAGCGGCAGACGGGUGAGUAACGCGUGGGAAUCUACCGUGCCCUAAGGAAUAGCUCCGGGAAACUGGAAUUAAUACCUUAUACGGCCCUUCGGGGAAAGAUUUAUCGGGGUAUGAUCGAGCCCGCGUUGGAUUAGCUAGUUGGUGGGU